CAGUCGCCGCGGUAAUACCGAGGGUGCAAGCGUUAAUCGGAAUUACUGGGCGUAAAGCGCGCGUAGGUGGUUCGCCAAGUUGGAUGUGAAAUCCCCGGGCUCAACCUGGGAACUGCAUCCAAAACUGGCGAGCUAGAGUAUGGUAGAGGGUGGUGGAAUUUCCUGUGUAGCGGUGAAAUGCGUAGAUAUAGGAAGGAACAUCAGUGGCGAAGGCGACCACCUGGACUGAUACUGACACUGAGGUGCGAAAGCGUGGGGAGCAAACAGGAUUAGAUACCCCUGUAGUCCCUGUCUCUUAUAC
rnacentral:rRNA from 1 species